GAUGCUUCCUCCAACCUCUCCAAUGCAGUCGAUGACAACACCUAAGAGACCAUCGCCGGCGGUGCAAAGACAAAAUUCGUCUCCUUACCAGCGCCCACCAUCUAAACCAGCUCGAAAAUCGGUCAAAAACGAAGGAUCUCAACCAAGUCGUCCUGAAAGACGACAAACGCAAGCAAACCGUUCUUCACAGAAUUCGACCAUCACCGAGCAGGCCAACCAAUUCAGAUAUGAAAAUCGUGCUGCAACUUCUGAAAGACCGCCAAGUCCCCAAUUCUCGAAUCAACAUCACGAUGCCACUAACGCGAUGCCCAUAGUCUACCAGGAGACUCAACUGCAUGCUACCAAGGGAGGAAAGUGGUCCCCGAUUGGAUUCGCAGCAACUCAGCUGUUCGAUUGUCAACGUGGAGUUCCUUUUGACAGGGACACUUGUGAGGUAAGAGACUUGAAUUACAUUGGAACAAAAAGCAUUGAAAAUUCUGCUCCAAAAAAAUUCUAAAAAUUUUUUGGAUUUUCAUUUUUAAAAACUCUAAUUUUUUUUUGGAUUUUUGAUUACAAAAAAAAACUAAAUUUUCUUUAAAAAAUUCUUUAAAAUUUUUGGAUUUUUUUUUCUAGAAAUUCUAUUCUUUUUUUUUGGAUUUUUGAUUACAAAAAAAAACAAAAAUUUCUUUAAAAAAUUCUAAAAAUUUCUGGAUUUUCAUUUCGAAAAACUUUUUUUUUUGGAUGUUUAAUUGCAAAAAAACUAAGUUUCCUUUUAAAAAAACUUAAAAUUUUUGUAUUUUUGAUGUUUAAAAAAUUCUAAAAAUUUUUAGAUUAUUUUUUUCUAGAAAUGUUUUUUUUUGGAUUUUUGAUUACAAAAAAAAAACUAAAUUUUCUUUAAAAAAUUCUAAAAAUUUUUGGAUUUUCAUUUCUAAAAUCUCUAAUUUUUUUUUGGAUUUUUGAUUGCUAAAAAACUAAAUUUUCUAUUAAAAAAAUUUAAAAUUUUUGUAUUUUUGAUGUUUAAAAAAUUCUAAAAAUUUUUAGAUUAUUUUUUUCUAGAAAUGCUUUUUUUUUGGAUUUUUGAUUACAAAAAAAACUAAAUUUUCUUCCAAAAAUUCUUUAAAAUUUUUGGAUUUUUUUUCUAGAAAUUCUAUUCUUUUUUUUUUGGAUUUUUGAUUGAUAAAAAACUAAAUUUCUAUUAAAAAAUUCUAAAAAUCAAAAGUUCUAAAGGCUUUGAGAGACACACAAUUUCUUUGUAUUUGAACUUUUCAGAGAAGUUUCAUGCAAUUGGUCAGAAACAAAAAAGAUGUGGAAUUUUUUUUUUCAGCUUGCUUUGGGACUAGCAUUUGUCGCCGGCAAGGUAACUUUUUGAUAGUUUUAAAAAUUCAAUAUUUAUUUUUAGGGAAACAGAAACCAAGAGCCCAAACCGGAAAACCUUGAAGAAACGGUAUUAAAUUGGAUAUCGAACAUGUUUAUUCUAGUUAAUUUUAAGGUGGCUAAAACGACUAUUCCGAAUAUUGGAUUUUCAGUCGACACGGCGAAAAAAUGCGACGCUAACUUGGUUCUUCCGAGUCAACGUUACUUCAAAAUUUCGGAAGCCUUAAAGCCAGGAGAAAUCGGAGGAGCCACGUCUUCAAAAUUCGUCAGCCACACUAGAAAAUUGGCUAGAAAGAUGUUUGACAAAGUAAAAGAAAAUUGAAGUCAACAUAGAUAUGCAUACUUUUUUUUAGAUCGAUAAAGUGAACGACUUGAUGAUUUGCUAUGCGGCUACUUCAUCAUCGACAUCGAAAAAGUACAAUGUGAUCAACGAUCAAUUCUUCAUCAAACUCGCCGGUAAAAUGGAACAAUUUCCCUAAUUUUCAAAAUGAAACUUAAUUUUAGAUUUCUUCAUUCACGGAUUCGGCCAAAAACCAACGGGAGAUCGAAGAGAAUUCGUCAAAAAUUUGCUCGUCGAAGUGAUGCACAACAAAUUGUUAGUGGAAAUUUACGAUCUAGUCAACCAUAAAGUAUUUUUUUUAACAGGAAUCGCAUUCGAAAUCGCUACAAUCAAGAAAAAGGUGCAAACAAAAGUGAGGAGGCGGGAAAAUGGAUGCAAAUGGAGCUCAAAAAGGAAAAUUGCGGAGAACUAGUGAG
rnacentral:sRNA from 1 species